GAAGAGAGAAAUUAAGAGUGGGUAAAUAAGAGUGACCCUUAUUAAUAAUCAUCAACAUUUUAAGAACCCUGACCACACAAUGACACAAGGACAUAGGACGUACUCUGUAAAAGUACAUUUUGUUCCUAAAAAUAUUUUAUGUACAAAAAAGUCAAGGAAAGAAAUCAAGACCCCAAAGUCAACAAACCCCUCCCGCCAAAACAUUAAUACUCCGCGCAAAACUCAAAAUUCAAAACCUUUUGGUGGGAAGGGUUCUGUUUUCUUUUUCAGCUGCACAUUUUAUCAAACACCUCAUGUGCAUCCAGCUCUUCUUACAGUGAAGUUUAAGGAUGCCUUAUUAUCUGACUAUUGAAUCUCCAGCCAGAACGAGGAUCGUAUAGACAGCCUUCUCCCUGGAUUUGUGUCAGUUCUUCCGUGCCCUCCGAUCAGCAGCCACCAUUUCCUCGGUCGUUGAUCGUCUCCAAAUUAAGUUUGUCCCCAAAUUCCAUAAACCCCAUGUCAUUCUCUGAAUAUUAUGAUAAAAGGGUAUGCUUCUGCUAUGGUCAAGACAUGGUCAGGUCAGGUAUGCUUCUGCUAUGGUCAGGUUUUAGAGCUCCAAACCGCGCUAGACGAUGCCCAAGAGCUCCUUAGAAGUUAGAACCCUAGCUGUGGUGACUGAAUUGUAUAGGUUGCUAAUUUUGUAGAAAGGAUAUGAUGAAGCAAUUGGGUGAUGCGAUGUGUGUUGAUAUUGGCAAAAAUGGGGAAGGUUUCAAGCAGUUUGGAAACUUUGGUUCUGUAUUUAAGAGACUAAUGAAUGCAGGAGACGAUAACGAGAAGAGUAAUGGACUAAUGGUGAUGGUGGGAUGAGUUAAGUGUGUUGGUGACUUAAUUGGCUAAGUCUGAUCGUUCCUGAGUCGAGGCAGACGGAUAAAGCUCUUAGCUUCUAUCGUAGCAUUCCAGUUCUUGAUCUUGGCGCUUGAGUGAACGAUUUGCGAAAUCACACAUCAAACAUCCGCACGGUGGUGGUGGUUUGCUAAAGAGGCAUGGGAAGAUUAAGUAUAAGUUAUAUGGACUUGAUUUGUCAAGCUUAGUGUGGAAGGAUGUGGCUGAUAGGGUUCAUGAGGCAGAGGAUCGAGGCCAUUUCAUCUCAAGAUGCUAAGCCAAUUACUGGGAAAUGUAGAUUAGUUACUGAGAAAAUAAAUUGUAUUUUGUUGUAGAAGAUUACUUGAAUUACCAUUGAAGCCGAAUUUUUGUUUUUUCUUAAUUUGAGAAUGUCAUCUUGAUUCAAUUUGUAGUAAGAGAUGAUCUUCACCAUUUUAUGA